UGAACAGCCCUGGAGACAAGAGCACUCUUUUGCUCCACAGGGCAGGGACAGCACAGGCUGGGCAGUGCAAGCUUCCCCUAGAGACAGUACCUUUCAGGAGCGAGAGGGACUUCAGUCUCCCUGGCUUCUGCAAUCAGACAGCC
rnacentral:sRNA from 1 species